rnacentral:tRNA from 1 species
AGGAACUUAGGAAUAACAUUAAACCAGAGACCUUCAAAGUCACAAAUAAGAGUCACCACCCUCUUAGUACCUG